rnacentral:rRNA from 1 species
GACGAACGCUGGCGGCGUGCCUAAUACAUGCAAGUAGAACGCUGAAGGAGGAGCUUGCUUCUCUGGAUGAGUUGCGAACGGGUGAGUAACGCGUAGGUAACCUGCCUGGUAGCGGGGGAUAACUAUUGGAAACGAUAGCUAAUACCGCAUAAGAGUAGAUGUCGCAUGACAUUUGCUUAAAAGGUGCAAUUGCAUCACUACCAGAUGGACCUGCGUUGUAUUAGCUAGUUGGUGAGGUAACGGCUCACCAAGGCAACGAUACAUAGCCGACCUGAGAGGGGGAUCGGCCACACUGGGACUGAGACACGGCCCAGACUCCUACAGGAGGCAGCAGUAGGGAAUCUUCGGCAAUGGACGGAAGUCUGACCGAGCAACGCCGCGUGAGUGAAGAAGGUUUUCGGAUCGUAAAGCUCUGUUGUAAGAGAAGAACGAGUGUGAGAGUGGAAAGUUCACACUGUGACGGUAUCUUACCAGAAAGGGACGGCUAACUACGUG